AGGAAAAGAAACUAACAAGGWUUCCCYUAGUAACUGCGAGUGAAGCGGGAAAAGCUCAAAUUUAAAAUCUGGUAGUCUUUGGCUGCCCGAGUUGUAAUCUAGAGAAGCGUUAUCCGUGCUGGACCGUGUAUAAGUCUCCUGGAAUGGAGCGUCAUAGAGGGUGAGAAUCCCGUCUUUGACACGGACUACCAGUGCUUUGUGAUGCGCUCUCAAAGAGUCGAGUUGUUUGGGAAUGCAGCUCUAAAUGGGUGGUAAAUUCCAUCUAAAGCUAAAUAUUGGCGAGAGACCGAUAGCGAACAAGUACCGUGAGGGAAAGAUGAAAAGAACUUUGGAAAGAGAGUUAAACAGUACGUGAAAUUGUUGAAAGGGAAACGCUUGAAGUCAGUCGCGUUGAUCAGGGAUCAACCUUGCUUUUGCUUGGUGUACUUCCUGGUUAACGGGUCAGCAUCAAUUUUGACCAAUGGAAAAAGUUCAGGGGAAUGUGGCAUCUUCGGAUGUGUUAUAGCCUCUGUUCGUAUACAUUGGUUGGGAUUGAGGAACUCAGCACGCCGCAAGGCCGGGUUUUACCACGUUCGUGCUUARGAUGCUGGCAUAAUGGCUUUAAUCGACCCGUCUUGAA
rnacentral:rRNA from 1 species